rnacentral:rRNA from 1 species
GACGAACGCUGGCGGCGUGCUUAACACAUGCAAGUCGAACGGAAAGGCCCUGCUUUUGUGGGGUGCUCGAGUGGCGAACGGGUGAGUAACACGUGAGUAACCUGCCCUUGACUUUGGGAUAACUUCAGGAAACUGGGGCUAAUACCGGAUAGGAGCUCCUGCUGCAUGGUGGGGGUUGGAAAGUUUCGGCGGUUGGGGAUGGACUCGCGGCUUAUCAGCUUGUUGGUGGGGUAGUGGCUUACCAACGCUUUGACGGGUAGCCGGCCUGAGAGGGUGACCGGCCACAUUGGGACUGAGAUACGGCCCAGAGUCCUACGGGAGGCAGCAGUGGGGAAUAUUGCACAAUGGGCGGAAGCCUGAUGCAGCAACGCCGCGUGCGGGAUGACGGCCUUCGGGUUGUAAACCGCUUUCGCCUGUGACGAAGCGUGAGUGACGGUAAUGGGUAAAGAAGCACCGGCUAACUACGUG